rnacentral:rRNA from 1 species
AUUGAACGCUGGCGGCAGGCUUAACACAUGCAAGUCGAGCGGGGAAAGGUAGCUUGCUACCUGACCUAGCGGCGGACGGGUGAGUAAUGCUUAGGAAUCUGCCUAUUAGCGGGGGACAACAUCUCGAAAGGGAUGCUAAUACCGCAUACGUCCUACGGGAGAAAGCAGGGGACUUUCGGGCCUUGCGCUAAUAGAUGAGCCUAAGUCGGAGUAGAGAGUUGGUGGGGUAAGGGCCUACCAAGGCGACGAUCUGUAGCGGGUCUGAGAGGAUGAUCCGCCACACUGGGACUGAGACACGGCCCAGACUCCUACGGGAGGCAGCAGUGGGGAAUAUUGGACAAUGGGGGGAACCCUGAUCCAGCCAUGCCGCGUGUGUGAAGAAGGCCUUUUGGUUGUAAAGCACUUUAAGCGAGGAGGAGGCUACCGAGAUUAAUACUCUUGGAUAGUGGACGUUACUCGCAGAAUAAGCACCGGCUAACUCUGUGCCAGCCGCCGCAGUAAGAC